AAAGCAGUGCUUGAUGUACCUUUUGCAUUCAAAAGGGUAGACGCUAUGCUGUAUAUAUCAAAUUUCGAUUAUGAGGUGGACUACCUCAGGAAGUCAUUUGAAACUCUAGAGGCAGCAUGUGAAGAGUUGAGAAGUAGCAGAAUGUUCUUGAAGCUUCUGGAAGCCGUGUUGAAGACGGGUAACCGCAUGAAUGUUGGGACAAACAGGGGAGAUGCUCAUGCCUUCAAACUUGACACUCUGCUAAAGCUUGUAGAUGUAAAGGGAGCAGAUGGGAAAACAACCCUUUUGCAUUUUGUGGUUCAGGAGAUUAUAAAAGGUGAAGGUACUCGUCUUUCCGGAGGAAAUCAGAACGAACAGUGUACCACUAAUGAUGACGCUAAGUGCCGGAAACUUGGCCUUCAAGUUGUUUCCAACAUUACUUCAGAGCUUAUGAAUGUUAAAAAUGCUGCUGCUAUGGAUUCAGAAGUGCUCCACAGCGAUGUUUUAAAGCUUUCUAAGGGGAUUGGAAACAUUGCUGAGGUUGCAGGAUACAUUGAAGCGGUUGGAUCAGAGGAAAGCAGUACUAAAAAAUUCUCCGAGUCCAUGAACAGGUUUAUGGAAAUAGCAGAAGAGAAGAUCAUACGGCUCCAAGCUCAAGAGGCGUUGGCCAUGUCACUGGUGAAGGAAAUAACCGAGUAUUUCCAUGGAGAUUCAGCUAGAGAAGAGGCUCACCCUCUCAGAACCUUCAUGGUGGUCAAAGACUUCCUAAUGAUUCUUGAUCGCGUUUGCAAGGAAGUUGGGAUGAUAA
rnacentral:misc_RNA from 1 species